AAUAGAAAAUAUCUGCUACUAAGAUCUCCCUCCACUCAAAAAUAUAUAUAGAUUCAAAUACUUAAGUCACCUUUCCACAUCCCUAGGUGCAUCUUUCCAUCAUCCAUUUCUUGGACCCAUACGUUCCACUUCUAAGUUAUUUAAAGGUACAGUCACUCCCACUUCUAAGAAACCGCACGAAGGAAGGGUUACGAUUAUUCACGAACGGAACCCUGAACCCCACGGAGUAGGAGAAAGCAGAGUAGGCGGAGAGACUGUUUACCAAAUGGGGGAGACCGGCGAACGCACCGAUCGGACGGUUAUCUGCAUAGGAGACAUCCAUGGCUACUUUUCCAAGCUUCAGCUCCUCUGGUCCAACCUCGAGGCCGCCGUCGGCGCCGCCGCCUUCGAGGCGGCGCUCGUCAUCUUUCUCGGCGACUACUGUGACCGCGGCCCGGACACCCACCAGGUGCUCGACUUCCUCCUCUCCCUCCCCUCCCGCUACCCGCGCCAGCGCUACGUCUUCCUCUGCGGCAACCACGACCUCGCCUUCGCCGCCUUCGUGGGCGCCCUUCCCCCGCCGCCGGACGGCUCGCCGUUUUCCGCCACGUGGGCGGAGUACCAGCAGAGCGAGGAGCGGGAGGGGUGGUUCAAAGGGGAGGGCUACGAGGCGAUGCACGUGCAGGGGAGGCGGUGGGGUGGGAACAUGGGGGGCCACUGGAACCCUAAGAAGGGCAUGCCCUACAAGGGAUCUAUCUAUGAUGCCGGCCCGACCUUCGAAUCCUAUGGCGUCCCCCAUGGAUUGGCGGAUUUGGUUAAAGCAGUCCCUGAUAAUCACAAGAAGUUUCUUGCUGACUUGGUUUGGGUUCAUGAGGAGGACAAUGUUUUAAUUGACACUUCUGAGGGAAGGAUCUGCUGCAAACUAAUAGCUGUUCACGCUGGCUUGGAGAUAUCCAAAGGCGUCGAUGAGCAGCUAAAACUUCUAAGAGCCAGGGACACAAGCCUGCCGAAGGUGGAAGAUCUUAGUGGGAGGCAUAAUGUUUGGGAAAUACCAAAGCAUGGAUACCUUCAUACCAUUCUAGUAUGAGUACAUCCAAUAAAAUCAGAAAAGAGAAGAAGGCGAAGAGGAGAAGGUGAGGACUUCAAACUAUACUACAGGAAACCACCAGACUGCUGGGCGACGUGCGAAGCCAACCAAUCAGCCGCCCUAUUCACCUUCCGCUACAUAUAAGUGACACAAGCAUCCACACAAUCCUGUAGAAGACCACGGAUAUCGUAUAUAAGAGGAUGUCGAAUAAAAUCAGAAAAGAGAAGAAGGCGAAGAGGAGAAGGAGCUGUCUGAAAAGCCAACCAUAGUGGUGAGCGGUCACCAUGGGAAACUACAUGUUGAAGGCCUUCGGUUCAUUAUUGAUGAAUGUGGCGGCUUAGAAGACCUACCAAUUGCUGCUAUAAUAUUUCCUUCCAAGAUGAUAGUCCGUGAUACAGAUAAAUUUGCAGCGCAGAACUAAGUUUAUCACAAGCAGGUUUUCAGAUUCAAUAUGUACCCAUAGCUAUACGUGUUACUCAAGGACAAGUGUAUAACUUGCAUGUGCCGUGCACCAAAAUUAAAACAAGUGGGCAGCUGUGUUAUUGUGGGAUUGAAUAUGAGGUCUUUAAGUAACACUUAAAAAAUCUCACCUAUGAUCUUUCAACAAGCCUGCUUCAUAGGCUUCGUCGGAAGCAAUCUAGCUUCCUUGUAUUCAGUGAGGGUUAAUGAUAGUGUUUCAGUAAAAUAGGCUUCAAGCAUCAUAAAGGCCUUGGCAGUGUUCUUUCAACUACGUGUAUAAUUGCAUAUUUGCAUAACCCUCCUUUUUAUUUAUAUUUAUAUAAUUUUCAUACCUAGAUUUA